UACGAACCGAGCGAACGUUGUUCGGAAUCACUGGGCUUAAAGGGCGCGUAGGCGGGCUGCCGCGUCCGGGGUGAAAUCCCACGGCUCAACCGUGGAACGGCCCCGGGUACGGGCGGCCUCGAGGGGGGUAGGGGCGUGCGGAACUGUGGGUGGAGCGGUGAAAUGCGUUGAUAUCCACAGGAACUCCGGUGGCGAAGGCGGCACGCUGGACCCCCACUGACGCUGAGGCGCGAAAGCCAGGGGAGCGAACGGG
rnacentral:rRNA from 1 species